rnacentral:rRNA from 1 species
GUACACUCCUACGGGAGGCAGCAGUGGGGAAUAUUGGACAAUGGGCGCAAGCCUGAUCCAGCCAUGCCGCGUGAGUGAUGAAGGCCCUAGGGUUGUAAAGCUCUUUCACCGGUGAAGAUAAUGACGGUAACCGGAGAAGAAGCCCCGGCUAACUUCGUGCCAGCAGCCGCGGUAAUACGAAGGGGGCUAGCGUUGUUCGGAUUUACUGGGCGUAAAGCGCACGUAGGCGGACUAUUAAGUCAGGGGUGAAAUCCCGGGGCUCAACCCCGGAACUGCCUUUGAUACUGGUAGUCUUGAGUUCGAGAGAGGUGAGUGGAAUUCCGAGUGUAGAGGUGAAAUUCGUAGAUAUUCGGAGGAACACCAGUGGCGAAGGCGGCUAACUGGAUCGAUACUGACGCUGAGGUGCGAAAGCGUGGGGAGCAAACAGGAUUAGAAACCCCUGUAGUCCCA